rnacentral:snoRNA from 1 species
UCCGAUGAUGGCAUGAAAAAUCUUUGAGACCUGAUUGUCUAAAUCGUGACGACAGUUUACAAGCAAUUAUCUGCUGAGGAC